rnacentral:rRNA from 1 species
GACGAACGCUGGCGGCGUGCUUAACACAUGCAAGUCGAACGGAAAGGCCCUGCUUUUGUGGGGUGCUCGAGUGGCGAACGGGUGAGUAACACGUGAGUAACCUGCCCUUGACUUUGGGAUAACUUCAGGAAACUGGGGCUAAUACCGGAUAGGAGCUCCUGCUGCAUGGUGGGGGUUGGAAAGUUUCGGCGGUUGGGGAUGGACUCGCGGCUUAUCAGCUUGUUGGUGGGGUAGUGGCUUACCAAGGCUUUGACGGGUAGCCGGCCUGAGAGGGUGACCGGCAAAAUUGGGACGGGGAUCCGGCCCAGCCUCCAAGGGGGGGCAGAGGGGGGGAAUAUUGAAAAAGGGGGGAAAGCCGAAGGAAGAAACGCCGGGGGGGGGGGAAGGGCCUUGGGGUGGAAAACCGUUUUCCCUUGGUAGGAGGGGUGGGGAAGGGAAAGGGGAAAGAAAGCCCGGGUAAAUUCGGG